rnacentral:rRNA from 1 species
AUGGGGAACGCCCUGUGGUGCUGCUGCAAGGGAGAAGACGACGAUGAUGGAUAUGUCUAUCUUGGUGGCGACAAUGAUCAGCAUGCCUACUACUACCCGGCCCCGGCCGCCGCCUCCAGGCCGCACUACCAGCCUGCUGCGGCGUCUUCCCCGACUCAGGGGAGCAGCCUCCUCUGGCCCCAGUCUCCUCCGGCUCCGCCAUCCAGGCCCCGACCGCAGCUGCAUGCUCCUCCAUCUCCUCCUCCUGCCUGCUCAGCCGCCGCUUCGACGAGCAGGGGAAGCCUGAUUCUCCGGCCCCAGCCACCUCCGGCGGCUCCCACCCCCAGGCCCAAACGGCAGCUGCAUGCUCCUCCCGUCCCUCACGGCGUCGCCUCCUCAACUUCGGCGAGCAGGAGCAGCAUCCUCCCGCCCCAGCCUGCUCCGGUUCCAGCCUCCAGAUCCCAAAAGCGGGGGCCGCAGCAGCCUUCUUCUCCUGUGACCCAUGGGCAUGGCGUCGCCGUCGCCGUCGCCCUUUCAACUUCGACAUGCAUGCUCCUCCGCCCCCAAAAGCAGAAGCCGCGACCGCCUCCCCCGAUCUCCCAUGGCGUCGACUCUCCAACUCCGACGACGAGCUGCCUCCUCCGUUUCGAGCAAGACCUCCUCAACUUCGUGCUCACCAAAAUGGCAACAUGCAACUCCCUAUCCCCAAGCUACAUUAUUCUUGCCCGUCUUGUACUCCCUCUGUUCCGAAAUAUAAGUCUUUUUAGACAUUUCAAAUGGACUACAAUAUACCUAGACAUAUUUAAAGUUUUACUUGGGAGUAUAUGUUAG